GGUUGUAAAAAAAAUCCAUCCAUAAAUCCUUUCGUGGAUGCUCAUAUGUUUCUCUGGGUGAAUAAUGCUUGGCUACCACAACAUUGCCCCAUUUGUAGGCAACCGUUGCGUUGAUGUGUGUCUUUUUGUCAAUUAGUUUCAGUUUCGUAGUUUUUUUUGGCGUUGAGAGCUUGUUGUCUUCUUUUCUUCUCUUGUUCCUAUGUUUUUGUUUCAGGUCAGUCACCACUGGUUUGGUGGUAUGUAAUAAUUAGUGCUAUAUGAGGCCGGCCUCUCUUGCAACUAUAUAUGUCAUGUAACUCUAUUUCCU
rnacentral:lncRNA from 7 species